CAGCUCCAGGCUGGGACAGAGGGGCUGGAAAGGGAAAGGGCCCUUUGGGAAAGACCCUGCAGGUGCUGGUGCCAGCGGCUGGACAUGAGCCCAGGGUGCCCAGGUGGGCAAGAGGCUAAUGACUUCCUGACUUGUUAUCAAAGUAGCAGGCCGAGCAGGACCAGGGCAGUGAUUUAACCUCUGUUGUCAGCGCAGAGGAAGAGAGAGAAGAAAUUUAUUUGCCUCUGUGUUUCCUGCAGGGUAAUCCACAACAGUGCUGAUGUCAGCAAAGAAAAAGAUUGCUAUUUACUGACAAAUUGAAAUGAGCUAACCCUGAAUACAAUCUAUUUCUAACACCAGGAUGUUUUGAGGUGACUCUAUAUGAAACCUAACUAAGCAUCCAGAUCCACAGCAAGGGUUUACCAGAUAGAAGAUGUCACUGGUGUGGAUGUGAGCUGACAGGAUGAGAGGGAAAGUGCUGGGGAAACCAGGCUCUUCUCUACCACUGCUUCCAACAUGCUGCCUUUUGGGAAGUUGCACGGAGUGUCAUCCAUCUUAUUUUAUCUACCUAAAAUAUAUUUAGCAGCCUGAAAGUGUCACCAAGAUACAUCAAGAGAGGAAAAGUGAUGGCUCCCCAUGACUGUUUCUGAUGCUUAUGUCUAGUUGUGAUAGUACUGCAAACAAUUUUGCACUCCAGCUAUGCCAUACCAAAAAGGCUUUGUACAUGUAAGAAAUCUGUGAGAAAAUUAUGUAUCUGUGCAUGUGUCUAAACUAAUUUUACG